rnacentral:rRNA from 1 species
AACGCUAGCGGCAGGCUUAACACAUGCAAGUCGAGGGGUAUUGGUUUUCGGACCAAGAGACCGGCGCACGGGUGCGUAACGCGUAUGCAAUCUACCUUUUGCAGAGGGAUAGCCCAGAGAAAUUUGGAUUAAUACCUCAUAGUAUAGCAGUUUCGCAUGAAACCACUUAUUAAAGUCACAACGGUGAAAGAUGAGCAUGCGUCCCAUUAGCUAGUUGGUAAGGUAACGGCUUACCAAGGCAACGAUGGGUAGGGGUCCUGAGAGGGAGAUCCCCCACACUGGUACUGAGACACGGACCAGACUCCUACGGGAGGCAGCAGUGAGGAAUAUUGGACAAUGGGCGCAAGCCUGAUCCAGCCAUGCCGCGUGCAGGAUGACGGUCCAAUGGAUUGUAAACUGCUUUUAUACAGGAAGAAACACUACUUCGUGAAGUAGCUUGACGGUACUGUAAGAAUAAGGAUCGGCUAACUCCGUG